rnacentral:miRNA from 1 species
AGUGUGAUCCUGACGGCAACAGUACAUUAGCAGCACGUAAAUAUUGGUGUUAACUCUAUAAAUAUCUCCAGUAUUAACUGUGCUGCUGAAGUAAAGUUGGCCAUUCUCUGCAAAUGA